AAAAUAUUUCAACAUAUCAUUAAUCACAUAUAUAUUUCUAGUGUGUUUACAAGUCUCCGUUAGUAAGUUUAAUUCUCGAGUUUCGAAUUUCUUAAACUUUUAUAAUUUUGACAUUUUUUUUUUUAAAUUUGAUAUGUAGCUCUAAAUAGAAACAUGUAAUAAAAUCACAACUUCCUGGUUUAUUCUUCACUCAUGCUCUUAAUAACUAUAAUCAAUAAUCACAAGUGACAAUAAGUCACACCCUGAAAUAUAAAUCGAAAGAUUAACAUACUCAAUAUAUACGUGCAUUUGUCAGUGUUGGCAUGCAUUAAGAGAGCGAAGGAGUUAUUUAUUAACAAUGCUGUCAGUUCUGAUAUUUGCAUUUCUAUGUAUUGUGUCUGUUGCCUCAGUUAUGUGAGAGUUACAGACAAAUGAUCAGCAGACAUGCAAACCGUUCAGGGCUCUUAUAGUCUGGGAUCUCAGCGAGAUAGAAAAUACAUUUGAUAUACAACGAAAUUUUAUAUUUCAAAUAAUAAACAAUAAACGUGAAGACACAAAUAUACGUUUGGACAUAAUGGACACCAUUUUAAGCAAUGUACUGGAUACGAAAAAAGACAUCUCGGACCACUGGUACAAACAUCGGUUUAAAGAUCGCUCAGGUUAAACGUACCAGUUUGGAACGAAAUGUAAUACCAUAUAAACAUUUGAUGGGAGCGGUAUCAAACUUUACAAAUGAAACUGUAACAGCAGCAUUAGAACUGUUCUUUGUUGUGGAUGACAAUUCAAGGAUAGAUAAGGAAGAAAUUGCUAAAAAGGAAUUGCAGUGAUUCAAAACGUUUGUUGCAGUCCGUGGAGCAAAGCCACCACCAAAGUUCUGGACAAAUCUCGCCACAGAUAAACAUCACCUGCUUGAACUUAAUGAUAACAUUGCUGGAGAUUUAGAUGUCUUUCUGGACCUUUCAUGUCAAGAUUCCAGAUUGAUGUCUCUUGCUUUCAGAUUACCGAACCAGAGACAAUACAAGUGACCAAUCAGAGAACAAUGGGUGUUACAGUGUAGUUCUCCAUGAUAAACUGGUCUACGCGUUUUCUGUUUCCAUGUGGAUAUUGGCGAAACAAUUACAUUGAUAAGAAAACAAAUUAAAGAAAGGUGUGCAUUUCUGGGCACACCGGAAAGUCUAAAUGUAACAACAUUUAACACAAUUCAUUUUAGAAAACAGUUGUCGACUGUAUAGAUGCUAGACUUAAAGUUCAAUAAAAACAAAGGAAGUUAGUUCUGCUUAAAAUAUACAUGAAAGAGAUAGAAAAAGAAUUUACUUUAUGUCUUUGUUUUGACUUGUACCAGGACCUGAAUGUAUAUUAACAACAUGAAGGUCUUUGACUAUUUUCAAGACAAAAAGGUAGAUAAUACAUGUAAACAUUGAUAUUUUUCCAUCAUUUAUCAUGCACUUUUCUAUUGAAUUUUUAGGCUGGCGAUUUAUUCGCUAGACUAUUAUAACCUUAAAUCGAGAUUCCACAAAGUUCAACAAAAAUUCAAAGGUGCUGAGACCGACAACACAAAAUAUAAUUUCAUGCGCAAUUCAAAUAGUUCGCCGCGUUUAUCAGUUUUGCCAUAGAGUUGUAUAAAGAUUGUUAAACUUAGCUGUUUCAAUAAAUCUAUUUGCUUUA
rnacentral:lncRNA from 1 species